GACGAACGCUGGCGGCGUGCCUAAUACAUGCAAGUAGAACGCUGAAGAGAGGAGCUUGCUCUUCUUGGAUGAGUUGCGAACGGGUGAGUAACGCGUAGGUAACCUGCCUUGUAGCGGGGGAUAACUAUUGGAAACGAUAGCUAAUACCGCAUAACAAUAGGUGACACAUGUCAUUUAUUCGAAAGGGGCAAUUGCUCCACUACAAGAUGGACCUGCGUUGUAUUAGCUAGUAGGUGAGGUAACGGCUCACCUAGGCGACGAUACAUAGCCGACCUGAGAGGGUGAUCGGCCACACUGGGACUGAGACACGGCCCAGACUCCUACGGGAGGCAGCAGUAGGGAAUCUUCGGCAAUGGGGGCAACCCUGACCGAGCAACGCCGCGUGAGUGAAGAAGGUUUUCGGAUCGUAAAGCUCUGUUGUAAGUCAAGAACGAGUGUGAGAGUGGAAAGUUCACACUGUGACGGUAGCUUACCAGAAAGGGACGGCUAACUACGUGCCAGCAGCCGCGGUAAUACGUAGGUCCCGAGCGUUGUCCGGAUUUAUUGGGCGUAAAGCGAGCGCAGGCGGUUUGAUAAGUCUGAAGUUAAAGGCUGUGGCUCAACCAUAGUUCGCUUUGGAAACUGUCAAACUUGAGUGCAGAAGGGGAGAGUGGAAUUCCAUGUGUAGCGGUGAAAUGCGUAGAUAUAUGGAGGAACACCGGUGGCGAAAGCGGCUCUCUGGUCUGUAACUGACGCUGAGGCUCGAAAGCGUGGGGAGCGAACAGG
rnacentral:rRNA from 1 species